rnacentral:rRNA from 1 species
AUUGAACGCUGGCGGAAUGCUUUACACAUGCAAGUCGAACGGCAGCACGGACUUCGGUCUGGUGGCGAGUGGCGAACGGGUGAGUAAUGUAUCGGAACGUGCCCAGUCGUGGGGGAUAAUGUAGUGAAAAUUACGCUAAUACCGCAUACGAUCUAUGAAUGAAAGCGGGGGAUCGCAAGACCUCGCGCGAUUGGAGCGGCCGAUAUCAGAUUAGGUAGUUGGUGUGGUAAAGGCCCACCAAGCCAACGAUCUGUAGCGGGUCUGAGAGGACGACCAGACACACUGGAACUGAGACACGGUCCAGACUCCUACGGGAGGCAGCAGUGGGGAAUUUUGGACAAUGGGCGAAAGCCUGAUCCAGCCAUUCCGCGUGCAGGAUGAAGGCCCUCGGGUUGUAAACUGCUUUUGUACAGAACGAAAAGGUUUCUACUAAUACUAGGAGCUCAUGACGGUACUGUAAGAAUAAGCACCGGCUAACUACGUGCCAGCCGCCGCAGUAA